rnacentral:rRNA from 6 species
GUUGUAUGGUUAAGUGACUAAGCGUACACGGUGGAUGCCUUGGCAGUCAGAGGCGAUGAAGGACGUAUUAACUUGCGAUAAGCCCAGAUUA